ensembl:lncRNA
GUGUUUACUAGUCUUGAUAUGUAGCGUGGUAUGUAGUGGUAUGGAAGGUGUUUACUAGUCUUGUGGUAUGUAGCGUGGUAUGGAAUGUGUUUACUAGUCUUGGUCGUGGUAUGUAGAGUGGUAUGGAAUGUGUUUACUAGUCUUGGUCAUGGUAUGUAGCGUGGUAUGUAAUGUGUUUACUAGUCUUGGUCGUGGUAUGUAAUGUGUUUACUAGUCUUGGUAUGUAGCGUGGUAUGGUAUGUGUUUACUAGUCUUGGUCAUGGUAUGUAAUGUGUUUACUAGUCUUGGUCGUGGUAUGUAAUGUGUUUACUAGUCUUGGUAUGUAGCGUGGUAUGGAAUGUGUUUACUAGUCUUGGCCGUGGUAUGUAGCGUGGUAUGGAAUGUGUUUACUAGUCUUGGUCGUGGUAUGGUAUGUGUUUACUAGUCUUGGUCGUGGUAUGGAAUGUGUUUACUAGUCUUGGUCGUGGUAUGUAGCGUGGUAUGGAAGGUGUUUACUAGUCUUGGUCGUGGUAUGUAGCGUGGUAUGGAAUGUGUUUACUAGUCUUGGUCGUGGUAUGUAGCGUGGUAUGGUAUGUGUUUACUAGUCUUGGUCGUGGUAUGUAAUGUGUUUACUAGUCUUGGUCAUGGUAUGUAGCGUGGUAUGUAGUGUGGUAUGGUAUGUGUUUACUAGUCUUGGUCGUGGUAUGUAGCGUGGUAUGGUAUGUGUUUACUAGUCUUGGUCGUGGUAUGUAGCGUGGUAUGGUAUGUGUUUACUAGUCUUGGUCGUGGUAUGUAGCGUGGUAUGGUAUGUGUUUACUAGUCUUGGUCGUGGUAUGUAGUGUGUUUACUAGUCUUGGUCGUGGUAUGUAGCGUGGUAUGGUGUGUGUUUACUAGUCUUGGUCGUGGUAUGUAGCGUGGUAUGGUGUGUGUUUACUAGUCUUGGUCGUGGUAUGUAGCGUGGUAUGGUGUGUGUUUACUAGUCUUGGUCGUGGUAUGUAGCGUGGUAUGGUGUGUGUUUACUAGUCUUGGUCGUGGACAGGACUGUUGGUUUCCUCUGUUUACUGGCCACAGCAGG